AGAAUCAACGCUGGCGGCGCGCUUAACACAUGCAAGUCGCACGAGAAAGGGAGCAAUCCUAAGUAAAGUGGCGCACGGGUGAGUAACACGUGGAUCAUCUACCUUUUAGUGGGGAAUACCUCUGGGAAACCGGAGACAAUACCGCAUAAGCCCGCAAGGGGAAAGCAGCAAUGCGCUGAAAGAGGAGUCCGCGGCCGAUUAGCUAGUUGGCGGGGUAAUGGCCCACCAAGGCGAAGAUCGGUAGCCGGCCUGAGAGGGCACACGGCCACACUGGCACUGAAACACGGGCCAGACUCCUACGGGAGGCAGCAGUGGGGAAUCUUGCACAAUGGGCGAAAGCCUGAUGCAGCGACGCCGCGUGAGCGAUGAAGCCCUUCGGGGUGUAAGCUCUUUCGACGGGAACGAUAAUGACGGUACCCGGAGAAGAAGCUGCGGCUAACUACGUGCCAGCAGCCGC
rnacentral:rRNA from 1 species